rnacentral:rRNA from 1 species
AACGAACGCUGGCGGCAGGCUUAACACAUGCAAGUCGAACGGUCUCUUCGGAGGCAGUGGCAGACGGGUGAGUAACGCGUGGGAAUCUACCUAGUUCUACGGAACAACAGAGGGAAACUUCUGCUAAUACCGCAUACGCCCUACGGGGGAAAGGGGGGGAUCUUCGGACCUCUCGCUAUCAGAUGAGCCCAUGUCGGAUU